rnacentral:lncRNA from 1 species
GAGACAAGCUUUGCUGCAAAGGAGGCGGAGCCAUCAAGAGCAUUGAGAUUCUUCAACCGCCGGCAAAACCCAAAGAGCCGGAAAAGCCUAAACCUGCACCGGCACCGGCGCCGGAAAAACCUAAAGAAGCAGAGAAGCCCAAACCUCCGCAGGAGAAGCCAAAAGAGGCAGAGAAGCCAAAACCGGCGCCGCCUAAGGAGGCUGAGAAGCCAAAGCCGGUGCUGGUAAAGCCCAAAGAGGCGGAGAAGCCAAAACCGGCGCCGGAAAAACCGAAAGAGGCAGAGAAGCCUAAAGCUCCGCCAGCUGCUGAUAAGCCAAAAGAGGCAGAGAAGCCUAAAGCUCCGCCAGCGGCAGAGAAGCCAAAGGAAAAGCCGCCGGAGCCCAAACCGGGGCCGGUCCCCGUUCCGGCAUUCCCGCCGCCGCAAGUGUUCCAAGCGUGUUGUGAGCCGUGCUACCAUGGUCAUGGUUGGGGAGCACCACCGCCGCCAUGCUACGAGACGUUCGGUAGGCCGGUGUUUGACAGCUGGGGCGGCGGCGGCGGCGCGUACAGGCCGUGUUAUAACGUCAACAGAUGUGAUUAUUUUUGUGAAGAGAAUUCUCAAGGCUGCACCGUUAUGUGAAUCAGUGUAAUUU